rnacentral:rRNA from 1 species
AGAACGAACGCUGGCGGCAGGCUUAACACAUGCAAGUCGAACGCCCCGCAAGGGGGAGUGGCAGACGGGUGAGUAACGCGUGGGAAUCUACCCAGUUCUACGGAAUAACACAGGGAAACUUGUGCUAAUACCGUAUACGCCCUACGGGGGAAAGAUUUAUCGGGAUUGGAUGAGCCCGCGUUGGAUUAGCUAGUUGGUGGGGUAAUGGCCUACCAAGGCGACGAUCCAUAGCUGGUCUGAGAGGAUGAUCAGCCACACUGGGACUGAGACACGGCCCAGACUCCUACGGGAGGCAGCAGUGGGGAAUAUUGGACAAUGGGCGCAAGCCUGAUCCAGCCAUGCCGCGUGAGUGAUGAAGGCCUUAGGGUUGUAAAGCUCUUUCAGUGGGGAAGAUAAUGACGGUACCCACAGAAGAAGCCCCGGCUAACUUCGCGCCAGCAGCCGC